CGCAUCCUUCUCCAGCGGCCCCGGGGGCCGCCGCGCCUUAACUCGAUCAGGGCUGCAGCGGCUCGCUGGCUUGACCAGUGCAGAAGGGGCGUGGGGGUGAGGGGGGUGGGGUAGGACUCUGAACUUCAAGCACUGGAGUUUGCCGGGAUCGUGAACUUGCAGGGAGAGGCGGUCCUCAUCCAGUGAGGUACUAACAGUCUAAGCAGAAAAAGAAGAACAGAUGGUGGUAAGACCUAGAAUGUUUACCCCAUUAAGAUCUAUAUCUGAAUCCAGAAGGAACACCUCAUUGCCGAGAAGAGCCCUGCAGACAGUUCACACCUCUGUUUCUUUUGCAAGAUAUAGCUACCUCAAAAAAUCCUUUCUUGAUCAAACUCUUAUGGCCUGGAAUCCUUGCGUUUCUGCUGAUGACUGUCAUUUUAGAGUACUUACUAAAGACAAUGGUUGGGGAAAUAGAUAUUUUAAAAAUAAGGGAAGAAGUGGGUAGGGUAAACCCAGGCUUACUUAUGUAAACUCUGAGUGCUGAAGUUAGAAGACAACCUUUAAGAUUAAAAAAAAAAACAAACAAAAAAAAACGGCAAAGUUAGAACACACAAAAGAUAGUAUAGUUCCUUACCCAUCCACCACUUGGUUUUGAGGAGAAAAGGGAAAUAAGAAGAGUUGAAGAGAAGAAAAACAGAACAGAAGAGUGGGAAAGGAAGAUGAAAGGGUGCUCUGGAGUACUAUGCACCUGUUUAGAAGUGGGGAAGUAGCACAAACACUAGCAAAAGAAGAACCACCAUGGAGUUCCUCCUUGCACAUCUCUCUCCCCUCCUGAAGGCCUAGGGUGAGCCCACAGCAUUGUUCCAGCAGUGAGGGAGUCUUCACUGCCCCCUGAGACUCUCUCACGGCUCUUAAGAUACCUCCCUGAAGUCCCUCCAAAGAAUUCAAUGUGCCCCUAGUCUAAAUCAGUUUCCUCCAUCAUAAAUACUCAUAGAUGAUGCAACAAUAAAACGUUAAUAACGAUAA
rnacentral:lncRNA from 10 species